UACGAAGGGUGCAAGCGUUACUCGGAAUUACUGGGCGUAAAGCGCGCGCAGGCGGCUAUCCAAGUCAGUGGUGAAAGCCCGGAGCUCAACUCCGGAACUGCCAUUGAAACUGUUUAGCUUGAGGACGAGAGAGGUGAGUGGAAUUCCCAGUGUAGAGGUGAAAUUCGUAGAUAUUGGGAAGAACACCGGUGGCGAAGGCGGCUCACUGGCUCGUUUCUGACGCUCAGGCGCGAUAGCGUGGGGAUCAAACAGG
rnacentral:rRNA from 1 species